UACGAAGGGGGCUAGCGUUGUUCGGAAUUACUGGGCGUAAAGCGCACGUAGGCGGAUAUUUAAGUCAGGGGUGAAAUCCCAGAGCUCAACUCUGGAACUGCCUUUGAUACUGGGUAUCUUGAGUAUGGAAGAGGUAAGUGGAAUUGCGAGUGUAGAGGUGAAAUUCGUAGAUAUUCGCAGGAACACCAGUGGCGAAGGCGGCUUACUGGUCCAUUACGUGACGCUGAGGUGCGAAAGCGUGGGGAGCA
rnacentral:rRNA from 1 species